rnacentral:rRNA from 1 species
UACGUAGGGGGCUAGCGUUGUCCGGAAUCAUUGGGCGUAAAGAGCGUGUAGGCGGUCCGGUAAGUCCGCUGUGAAAGUCGGGGGCUCAACCCUCGAAUGCCGGUGGAUACUGUCGGGCUCGAGUCCGGAAGAGGCGAGUGGAAUUCCUGGUGUAGCGGUGAAAUGCGCAGAUAUCAGGAGGAACACCGAUGGCGAAGGCAGCUCGCUGGGACGGUACUGACGCUGAGACGCGAAAGCGUGGGGAGCAAACAGG